GACCCAAUGGCAUAGUGGUUAAUGCACCUGUUUAGAUUAACCAGCAAAUAGUUGAAUAAGCAGGAGACCUUCGUUCGAACCGGGGUUGGGUCA